rnacentral:tRNA from 1 species
GAAUGUAUAGCUCAGUGGUAGAGCGCCUCCCUAGCAUGCACGAGAUCCUUGGUUCAAUCCCCAGCACCUCCA